UACGUAGGGGGCAAGCGUUGUCCGGAAUUAUUGGGCGUAAAGCGCGCGCAGGUGGUUUCUUAAGUCUGAUGUGAAAGCCCACGGCUCAACCGUGGAGGGUCAUUGGAAACUGGGGAACUCGAGUGCAGAAGAGGAAAGUGGAAUUCCAAGUGUAGCGGUGAAAUGCGUAGAGAUUUGGAGGAACACCAGUGGCGAAGGCGACUUUCUGGUCUGUAACUGACACUGAGGCGCGAAAGCGUGGGGAGCGAACAGG
rnacentral:rRNA from 1 species